rnacentral:rRNA from 1 species
UACGGGGGGGGCAAGCGUUGUUCGGAAUUACUGGGCGUAAAGCGCACGUAGGCGGAUCGAUCAGUCAGGGGUGAAAUCCCAGGGCUCAACCCUGGAACUGCCUUUGAUACUGUCGAUCUGGAGCAUGGAAGAGGUGAGUGGAAUUCCGAGUGUAGAGGUGAAAUUCGUAGAUAUUCGGAGGAACACCAGUGGCGAAGGCGGCUCACUGGUCCAUUACUGACGCUGAGGUGCGAAAGCGUGGGGAGCAAACAGG